AUUGUCAAAUGAAUAAUAAAACUCCUCAGGUUAUAUGGUAUGGUAAAUAUUACUAAUAUAGAUAUCCUAGAAAUUAUAUGGAGUUCCUAAAAUUCUGAUAUGUUCUGAUAAAAUGUUAUCAGUCAUAAUUCUAGUUACUAACAUAAAGUGUUGUCACAGCAGUAACAAAGUUUCAGAUUUUAAACAUGCCUUAAGUCUUUUGUCAUUACAGAGAGUUAUGGUUUUAUUCUGAUGGGCAUUUGUAAAAAUGCUUCCUCUUCAAGAAAAUUUAUAGAAAGGACUUUCGGAUAAAUACACAUUUCUGACUUCAGACCAUAAUGCUGAACUGGAGGCCUGCCGAGCGCGUGAUGCCUCACAUAAGUCAUGGCCCUUUAUUCUCACUGCCGUCCUGUGCAUUAAAGUACACGGUUUGCAUUUUCUAGCACAGAGCUCUGCUCUGGCUGAGAUUAUAUAAAGACAUGAAGCUUGAUACCAAAUUGCUCAUGACCUGAGUGUGACACAGACUUGAAAAGGC
ensembl:lncRNA